AGACUGGGUCCCACUAUAUUGCCUGGGCUGGCCUCGGACUCUUGACCCCAAGUGAUCCUCUGGCCUCAGCCUCCCAAGCAGCUGGACUUAUAGGCAGGCACCACCACACCGAGCUAAAAGUCAGCCUCAUUUGUUUUCCCGGAAGACUGGUUUUGUCUAAGACAGAAAAUAUGACCACUGACAGCUUCUGAGUGUUAUAACUUGGAGGUUAUGUCAUGAGAAAGAAGUGAGUCUCGGUGUCCCUGAGUCUGAAAACACAGAAGAGGGGCCUCCCUGGCUGUGAUGAGUCCUGCAGAGGAACAGGGCUGUGCCACCCUAGAAGAAAGAAGGUCAGACAAUUGGGAUAGGUGUUCCCAACAGGAAUCUAACAGCCUGACAUCAUGGCCUUAUGCAAACAUGAGAUUCUGAUGAUCCCACCUUCCCUCCACUUCCCAGGAGUCAUGUCAGCUGCAGAGGCCCUGAUGAAACUAUGUCCUUCAUCUCUUGUGAAGCCUGUGGCAAGGGCAACAACAACCACAACAGUAAUGCUAGUAGCUAGCAUUUAUUAUGCACUUUGCGUCAGGCCCUGGGCUGCACUAUACAUGGAUUUUUUUUUUGAGACGGAGUCUUUCUGUGUCACCCAGGCUGGAGUGCAGUGGUAUGAUCUCGGCUCACUGCAACCUCACCUCCGGGUUCAAGCAAUUCUCCUGCCUCAGCCUCUGGAGUAGCUGGGACUACAGGCACGUGCCACCACACCCAGCUAAGUUUUGUAUUUUUAGUAGAGACAGGGUUUCACUGUGUUGGCCAGGCUAGUCUCGAACUCCUGACCUCAAGUGAUCUGCCUGCCUCGGCCUCCCAAAGUGUUGGGAUUACAGGUGUGAGCCACUGCGCCCGGCCUCUACAUGGAUUUUUAUUUCAUCCUGACUGCAGCUGUCUUACUCCCCUCACUUUGCAGAUGAGGAUGCAGAGACAGGGAGAGAUUAGGAGCCCAAGAUCACACAGCUAGUGAGGGGCAGUGCAGGCACUCUGCCUAGGUCAGUCUGGUUCCCAAUUCCCUGUUUUCCAUCAUCAAGCUCCCUAGCCUGCAGGAUUGAAGGUCUGGCCCUGGGCAUUCCCAGAGGAGGUGGAAAAGUUCACUGGUCUGGUGGAUGGUUCUGCCACAUGGACUUACAAGGCAUCACAGCCAGAGCCUGAGGAACUUUCUGGGGCCUGUGCCCUUCACACCACCAGCUGUGCUGCCACAGCGUCUCUAGAGGGUCCUCAUGAGCACCUGGGUGGUGAUGCUCCUGUCUGUAAGCAGCUGCUGUGGUCAGUGAGUGGCUGCAUAGCUGGGUCCUCCAUCCUGGUGGCUUUGGGGACAGUAUAGGCCCUGGUUCUCUUCUCCCUCCGUUCUUUACCUCCUUUCAGUCUCUUCCCUUCUGGUUUUCCCCCUUCCUAGACUCCUGGCUUCCCUGGGCCUGCUGCACCGGCUCUGGCUAGGUUGGAGAGGGCUGCAGGCAGGACUGUAGUCAGCAGAGGGCACCAAAGCCUCUCAACACACCCAUGGCCCAGGCCUGGCCCAGAAGGAGAGCGCUGAGAGCCAGGACAGGCGGGCUACGUGCCCUGUGGAUUCCCCCAUUUCCCAUGCUUCAUCCGGCCAUGGGCCUGCAGUGCAC